rnacentral:piRNA from 1 species
GAGGGUGAUUGCAGGGGCAUGGUCCUGGGC